rnacentral:rRNA from 2 species
AUACAUGCAGUCGAGCGAACAGAUAAGGAGCUUGCUCCUUUGACGUUAGCGGCGGACGGGUGAGUAACACGUGGAUAACCUACCUAUAAGACUGGGAUAACUUCGGGAAACCGGAGCUAAUACCGGAUAACAUAUUGAACCGCAUGGUUCAAUAGUGAAAGGCGGCUUUGCUGUCACUUAUAGAUGGAUCCGCGCCGUAUUAGCUAGUUGGUAAGGUAACGGCUUACCAAGGCAACGAUACGUAGCCGACCUGAGAGGGUGAUCGGCCACACUGGAACUGAGACACGGUCCAGACUCCUACGGGAGGCAGCAGUAGGGAAUCUUCCGCAAUGGGCGAAAGCCUGACGGAGCAACGCCGCGUGAGUGAUGAAGGUCUUCGGAUCGUAAAACUCUGUUAUCAGGGAAGAACAAAUGUGUAAGUAACUGUGCACAUCUUGACGGUACCUGAUCAGAAAGCCACGGCUAACUACGUGCCAGCAGCCGCGGUAAUACGUAGGUGGCAAGCGUUAUCCGGAAUUAUUGGGGCGUAAAGCGCGCGUAGGCGGUUUUUUUAAGUCUGAUGUGAAAGCCCACGGCUCAACCGUGGAGGGUCAUUGGAAACUGGAAAACUUGAGUGCAGAAGAGGAAAGUGGAAUUCCAUGUGUAGCGGUGAAAUGCGCAGAGAUAUGGAGGAACACCAGUGGCGAAGGCGACUUUCUGGUCUGUAACUGACGCUGAUGUGCGAAAGCGUGGGGAUCAAACAGGAUUAGAUACCCUGGUAGUCCACGCCGUAAACGAUGAGUGCUAAGUGUUAGGGGGUUUCCGCCCCUUAGUGCUGCAGCUAACGCAUUAAGCACUCCGCCUGGGGAGUACGACCGCAAGGUUGAAACUCAAAGGAAUUGACGGGGACCCGCACAAGCGGUGGAGCAUGUGGUUUAAUUCGAAGCAACGCGGAAGAACCUUACCAAAUCUUGACAUCCUUUGACCGCUCUAGAGAUAGAGUCUUCCCCUUCGGGGGACAAAGUGACAGGUGGUGCAUGGUUGUCGUCAGCUCGUGUCGUGAGAUGUUGGGUUAAGUCCCGCAACGAGCGCAACCCUUAAGCUUAGUUGCCAUCAUUAAGUUGGGCACUCUAAGUUGACUGCCGGUGACAAACCGGAGGAAGGUGGGGAUGACGUCAAAUCAUCAUGCCCCUUAUGAUUUGGGCUACACACGUGCUACAAUGGACAAUACAAAGGGCAGCUAAACCGCGAGGUCAAGCAAAUCCCAUAAAGUUGUUCUCAGUUCGGAUUGUAGUCUGCAACUCGACUACAUGAAGCUGGAAUCGCUAGUAAUCGUAGAUCAGCAUGCUACGGUGAAUACGUUCCCGGGUCUUGUACACACCGCCCGUCACACCACGAGAGUUUGUAACACCCGAAGCCGGUGGAGUAACCAUUUAUGGAGCUAGCCGUCGA